rnacentral:rRNA from 1 species
GACGAACGCUGGCGUUGUGCCUAAUACAUGCAAGUAGAACGCAGUUGCGAACGGGUGAGUAACGCGUAGGUAACUGCCUCAUAGCGGGGGAUAACUAUUGGAAACGAUAGCUAAUACCGCAUACUGUGAGAUGGACCUGCGUUGUAUUAGCUAGUUGGUGAGGUAAAGGCUCACCAAGGCGACGAUACAUAGCCGACCUGAGAGGGGUAUGGGACACCCUGGGACUUAGACACGGCUCCGACUCCUACGGUAGGCCGCAGUAGGGAAUUGUUGGAAAUGGACGGAGGUCUGAGUGAGCAACGCCGCGUGAGUGAAGAAGGUUUUCGGAUAUUAAAGCUCUGUUGUUAGAGACUCGGUAACUAACCAGAAAGGGACGGCUAACUACGUGCCAGCAGCCGCGGUAAUAC